rnacentral:tRNA from 1 species
UCUAAUAUGACAGAUAAAAUGUAAUGGAUUUAAAACCCAUUUAUAAAGGAAUUUUCCUUUUUUUAGAA